CGCAUCUGUGCAUGCAGCAUAUCAAUAAGCGGAGGAAAAGAAACUAACAAGGAUUCCCCUAGUAACGGCGAGUGAAGCGGGAAGAGCUCAAAUUUGAAAUCUUAAAGGGUUUCCCUUUACGAAUUGUAGUUUAAAGAAGUGUUUUCUGUUGAGGUUUUGGUAAAAGUUCUUUGGAAUAGGACAUCAUAGAGGGUGAGAAUCCCGUAUUUGACCUUUACUUUCAACUUUGUGAUACACUUUCAAAGAGUCGGAUUGUUUGGGAAUGCAGUCCAAAAUGGGUGGUAAAUUUCAUCUAAAGCUAAAUAUUGGCGAGAGACCGAUAGCGAACAAGUACCGUGAGGGAAAGAUGAAAAGAACUUUGAAAAGAGAGUUAAACAGUACGUGAAAUUGUCAAAAGGGAAGCGUUUGACACCAGUGUUGUUUUUCUGAAAAUCAAUUAAAGAACUGUUUAUGCUAAGUUGUUUAGACUUUAUCAGCUAUCUGUUUAGUUUUGAGCUUUUCUUUAAUGCACUUUUCAGUUAACAAGUCAACAUCAAUUUCUUUUGCUGUAAAAAAGCUUGAGGAAGGUGGCUUGAGAUUCGUCUUAAGUGUUUAUAGCCUCUUGCCUAUGCAGUCGGAGAGAUUGAGGUCUGCAGCGUAGAUCCUUCGGGACUAAAUGCAUUUGUGCUAAGUUAUAGCAUUUUAUAGACAACUUGUUGACUAUGAUUUGUCUUGUAGCUUACUCGCUUAUGUUAUUUUACCUACGCUUAGGAUGUUGAAGAUGUAGCACAUCAU
rnacentral:rRNA from 1 species